rnacentral:rRNA from 1 species
AGCGAACGCUGGCGGCAGGCCUAACACAUGCAAGUCGAGCGAAGCCUUCGGGCUUAGCGGCGGACGGGUGAGUAACGCGUGGGAACGUGCCCUUUGGUACGGAAUAGCCCCGGGAAACUGGGAGUAAUACCGUAUGUGGUCGAGAGACGAAAGAUUUAUCGCCAAAGGAUCGGCCCGCGUUGGAUUAGGUAGUUGGUGGGGUAAUGGCCUACCAAGCCGACGAUCCAUAGCUGGUUUGAGAGGAUGAUCAGCCACACUGGGACUGAGACACGGCCCAGACUCCUACGGGAGGCAGCAGUGGGGAAUCUUAGACAGUGGGGGAAACCCUGAUCUAGCCAUGCCGCGUGAUCGAUGAAGGCCUUAGGGUUGUAAAGAUCUUUCAGUGGGGAAGAUAAUGACUGUACCCACAGAAGAAGCCCCGGCUAACUCCGUGCCAGCAGCCGCAGUAACAC